rnacentral:rRNA from 1 species
UACAGAGGUCUCAAGCGUUUGUUCGGAUUCAUUGGGCGUAAAGGGUGCGUAGGUGGCGCCGUAAGUCAGGUGUGAAAUUUCGGAGCUUAACUCCGAAACUGCAUUUGAUACUGCGGUGCUUUGAGGACUGGGAGAGGAGACUGGAAUUUACGGUGUAGCAGUGAAAUGCGUAGAGAUCGUAAGGAAGACCAGUGGCGAAGGCGGGUCUCUGGACAGUUCCUGACACUGAGGCAACGGAAGGCCAGGGGGAGCAAACGGG